UGUGUACUCCCUCCGUCUCAAAAUUCUUGUCUUAAAUUUGUCUAAAUAUGAAUCUAUCUAGUCAUGUUUUAGUAUUUAGAUACAUUCAUUUCUAGAUAAACCUAAGACAAGAAUUUUGGGACGGAGGGAUCACAUG
rnacentral:pre_miRNA from 1 species